UACAGAAGUAUAAUUAAUAGAUUUUUAGAACAGAAGAUCCAAUCAGUUCAUCUAGCAUACUGUCCUCUUUUAACACAGGUCACAGAACUUCAUAUAGCUCCUCAGCAUUAAUCCUGUAACUUGUCUGACUGUUGUGCAUCUUCCAGUCAAGGAAGUGCAAAUUAUUUUCCGUAGACCAAGAAGAGGUUUCUGAACUCCAGAAGAACAUACACUUGCUUUUAGUUUUGACUCUUCACACUUCAGCACAGUGCUUAAAAGUAAAAAUGAGAAUAAAACCAGGAAGACAACUUCACAAGUGGUAGCUUUUUCAAUUACUUACACAUGAUUUGUUUAUUACUUCAUAAUGGACACUGAAUUUAACUAAUUCACAUAAAAGUAAUAUAUUUGUGCGUUUGUAACAUCCAUGGCAUGUUAAUUUUAUCUCUGUCUUAGAAAGUUUCCAUUUCUCUCUUUUCCUUCUGUGCAUUCACACAUACACAGACACAUACGUUAGCACAGAUUUGUCAUGCUGUAGUUUUUCAAAUGGUAAACCUAUAAUUUAGCUUCUCUAUUACUCAUCUCAUAAAUUCAACAUCUAAUAGUUUUGUUGCUAUUUAUCAAUGGCUUGCUUGUUGUCAUGGAACACUGAUUCAGCUGUCAAGGUUAUUUGGUAAUCUGAGGCUCAUAAACCAGGGGAAGUUCUUUUUGUCAUGAGCCCAAAGUCAAUGCACACUUCUUCCCCGAAUUAAAUGUACUAAUAUUUUUUGAAUAAUAAAUAAUUUUAGCACUUCUAUAAUGAAGAGAUUUUUUAUGUUAUUUUUUUAGUCAUUGAUUGAGCUAGGAAAAAUAAUCUUGUGUCAGCUACAGUAUGAUCCAAAA
rnacentral:lncRNA from 1 species